rnacentral:tRNA from 1 species
GCCAGCAUGGCUUAGUGGUUUGAGUGUUGGACUAGGACUCUGGAGACCAGGGUUCGAUUCCCAACUUGGUCA